UUUUAGAUUCUGAACCAAAAAAAAAGGAAAUUGCAAAUGUGAAAGUCAAAUGCAUUGCUUGUGCUAGCCGCAUUGAAAGUAGGGUUGUUAAAGGAGUUGUUUCUAAGAAGAAUGUGACUCAUCGUCGCAUGACAUCAAAAGUUGAUAAACCUCGCAUGUUGAUCCUUGGAGGGGCUCUUGAGUACAGGCACUCAAAUUGUGCCUUCAAUUGAUCAUCUUUCAUCACCAAAGUUGGGUUACUAUGAAGCUUUUCAUGUUGAAAAGUUUGUUGAAAAUCUGAGCAGUUCUGCUGCUCAAGGUAGUUUAGGGAACUGGAUGGUAGAUUUGACUGAUUAGUGUUUAUUGCAAUGCUUGUAUUUUGGUAAGUUUAGUAAGACAAGGUUUUGUAUAGGAGUUAUUACUUUUGAUUUUCAAUAAUAAAAAAUUAUAUAUUAUAUUAA